ensembl:lncRNA
UGGAAGCUGAAGUGAAGCACGGAGCUCCUUUUCUACACGGACCUGCUGAGGACAGAAGAGAGCUGCUCACUGAGGAACUUCAUGUCUACAAGAUCAAACAACAAGCUCUAACAAGCUGCGUCACCUGGAAGGUGAAGUGAAGCACGGAGCUCCUUUUCUACACGGACCUGCUGAGGACAGAAGAGAGCUGCUCACUGAGGAACUUCAUGUCUACAAGAUCAGUAAGUGGAGCUGUGAUUGGAUGAAUGAUCAUCGAUGGUCGUGGACGUGUGAUUGUUUAAAGCUGGGAAACAAGAUGGCGCCUGUGUGAGCAGGCAGAGAGGAGCUGCUGUUGGUCUGAAUGAUGAAGAAGAGGAGCUCAGUCUGAUCUGGGGUCUGUGAGGACUGUUACUGA